GAAUCUCGGCAACGGAUAUCUCAGCUCUCGCAUCGAUGAAUAACGUAGCGAAAUGCGAUACUUGGUGUGGAUUGCAGAAUCCCGUGAACCAUCGAGUCUUUGAACGCAAGUUGCGCCCCAAGCCAUUAGGCCGAGGGCACGUCUGCCUGGGUGUCA
rnacentral:rRNA from 1 species